AUGGCCAAUGAUCAAUUAAGCCAUAUAAAUUACUCAUGUUUUCAACUCAAUUAGAAACAAACCUACCAUAAACCUCAAAAAAAGAGAA
rnacentral:rRNA from 1 species